CAUUUUACAGGGUGCCUUUUGAAAAAGGACAAAACAUAUAUAUUCUUCUUAUUCAUAGGAGGACAUCAACACUUUCUUGCAUAGGAAAGAAUUUAGAUUCUGAACUAACUGCUGUAAUGAGGGACAGACAAUAAGUGUGAAUUGAAACUAAUUGGUGUUUCAGAUCACUGAGCCUGCUGAAAAACCAUUUGUGAUGAGGCCUGUAUAAGUUAACAGUCGCUUUUAAAUGCCUAAUUAAACAUCGCUCUGUCCCCAGUGAGAAUAAAAAAACCCUGUAUUGUCACUCAUUGCACGACACUUAACCAAGUGAUUGAAGCCAGCGGUCUGCACAGAUUUCACUCUUGUGCAUGACGAAAGCUCGUUUUCCUUGGAGCAGACUGAUGGAGGGGGCCUUCGGACAAUGACACAUUGUGUCCCUUACAGACGGGAACACGGCCUCGCGGUGAACAGGAAUAAUGGGCUAAUGGGAGGAAAAGCCAUGAGAUUCUUGCUGAACAAAAAGGAAAAAGAAAGAGACAAGCUUCCUCUGUCCGCUUGAGAGCUUCUGACCUUCCUCAAGGCUGAAAUCAGAACAUUCCUCUCCAAGCAUGGCACACUUACUCCAUGGAGGAAGGACUGCCCCCUUCCCCAAUGUUAAACCUGUGUAACUUCUAUAAAUUUUUGUACCGUGUUAGUUAGUCCAUGAUUAGAGUUACUCUUGUGAAUCAAUUUUUCUUCCAUUAU
rnacentral:lncRNA from 1 species